AGAGUCUGAUCCCGGCUCAGAAUCAACGCUGGCGGCGCGCCUAACACAUGCAGGUCGAACGAGAAAGUGGAGCAAUCCAUGAGUAAAGUGGCGUACGGGUGAGUAACACGUGGAUUAUCUACCCUCUAGUGGGGAAUACCGCUGGGAAACCGGCAACAAUACCGCAUAAGCUCGAGAGAGGAAAGCAGCAAUGCGCUGGAGGAGGAGUCCGCGGUCGAUUAGUUAGUUGGCGGGGUAAAGGCCCACCAAGACUGUGAUCGAUAGCCGGCCUGAGAGGGCACACGGCCACACUGGCACUGAAACACGGGCCAGACUCCUACGGGAGGCAGCAGUGGGGAAUCUUGCACAAUGGGGGAAACCCUGAUGCAGCGACGCCGCGUGAGCGAUGAAGCCCCUCGGGGUGUAAAGCUCUUUCGGCAGGGAAGAUUAUGACGGUACCUGCAAAAGCAGCUGCGGCUAACUACGUGCCAGCAGCCGCGGUAAUACGUAGGCAGCAAGCGUUGUUCGGAGUUACUGGGCGUAAAGGGUGCCUAGGCGGCUUUUUAAGUUUGGUGUGAAAUCUCCCGGCUCAACUGGGAGGGUGCGCCGAAUACUGAGAGGCUAGAGUGUGUAGAGGAAAGUGGAAUUCCUGGUGUAGCGGUGAAAUGCGUAGAUAUCAGGAGGAACACCGGUGGUGUAAACGGCUUUCUGGACCAUAACUGACGCUGAGGCACGAAAGCGUGGGUAGCAAAUAGGAUUAGAUACCCUGGUAGUCCACGCCCUAAACGAUGCAUAUUUGGUGUGGGCCAUUCAUUUGGUCCGUGCCGGAGCUAACGCGUUAAAUAUGCCGCCUGGGGAGUACAGUCGCAAGGCUGAAACUCAAAGGAAUUGACGGGGGCCCGCACAAGCGGUGGAGCAUGUGGUUUAAUUCGACGCAACGCGAAGAACCUUACCUGGGCUCGAAAUGCUAUGGACCAGCUGGUGAAAGCCGGCCUUCCCGCAAGGGACUGUAGUAUAGGUGCUGCAUGGCUGUCGUCAGCUCGUGUCGUGAGAUGUUGGGUUAAGUCCCGCAACGAGCGCAACCCUUGUCCUGUGUUGCCAUCAUUCAGUUGGGAACUCGCAGGAGACCGCCAGGGAUAACCUGGAGGAAGGUGGGGAUGACGUCAAGUCCUCAUGGCCUUUAUGUCCAGGGCUACACACGUGCUACAAUGGACGGUACAAAGGGCUGCCAACCCGCAAGGGGGAGCCAAUCCC
rnacentral:rRNA from 1 species